rnacentral:rRNA from 1 species
GACGAACGCUGGCGGCGUGCUUAACACAUGCAAGUCGAACGGAAAGGCCCUGCUUUUGUGGGGUGCUCGAGUGGCGAACGGGUGAGUAACACGUGAGUAACCUGCCCUUGACUUUGGGAUAACUUCAGGAAACUGGGGCUAAUACCGGAUAGGAGCUCCUGCUGCAUGGUGGGGGUUGGAAAGUUUCGGUGGUUGGGGAUGGACUCGCGGCUUAUCAGCUUGUUGGUGGGGUAGUGGCUUACCAAGGCUUUGACGGGUAGCCGGCCUGAGGGGGUGACCGGCCACAUUGGGACUGAGAUACGGCCCAGACUCCUACGGGAGGCAGCAGUGGGGAAUAUUGCACAAUGGGCGGAAGCCUGAUGCAGCAACGCCGCGUGCGGGAUGACGGCCUUCGGGUUGUAAACCGCUUUCGCCUGUGACGAAGCGUGAGUGACGGUAAUGGGUAAAGAAGCACCGGCUAACUACGUG